AUUGAACGCUGGCGGCAGGCCUAACACAUGCAAGUCGAGCGGAUGAAGGGAGCUUGCUCCUGGAUUCAGCGGCGGACGGGUGAGUAAUGCCUAGGAAUCUGCCUGGUAGUGGGGGAUAACGUCCGGAAACGGGCGCUAAUACCGCAUACGUCCUGAGGGAGAAAGUGGGGGAUCUUCGGACCUCACGCUAUCAGAUGAGCCUAGGUCGGAUUAGCUAGUUGGUGGGGUAAAGGCCUACCAAGGCGACGAUCCGUAACUGGUCUGAGAGGAUGAUCAGUCACACUGGAACUGAGACACGGUCCAGACUCCUACGGGAGGCAGCAGUGGGGAAUAUUGGACAAAGGGCGAAAUCCUGAUCCAGCCAUGCCGCGUGUGUGAAGAAGGUCUUCGGAUUGUAAAGCACUUUAAGUUGGGAGGAAGGGCAGUAAGUUAAUACCUUGCUGUUUUGACGUUACCAACAGAAUAAGCACCGGCUAACUUCGUG
rnacentral:rRNA from 1 species